UUUGGUAUACUGUACCGUUCAGUGGAUGGCUCGGCUCAAGCGCUGAUGAAGGACGUGCCAAGCUGCGAUAAGCCUCGGCGAGGUGCAUGGAUGUGUUGAACCGAGGAUCUCCUAAUGGGACAUCUUAACAUUUCGGUGUUGAUCCCAUGUGGGAUCGGGAACGCCCCGGAUUGAAACAUCUUAGUAGGGGCAGGAAAAGAAACCAAUAUAGGGAUGCUGUUAGUAACGGCGAGUGAAGACAGCAGAGUUCAAACUGAAUCCACUCAAGAGAUUGCGUGGAGAUGUGGUGUUGUAAGGGCUUGACCGCUUGCAGUCCUCACAGGUGAAACCGAACUUGUCUGGAACGACAGACCAUAGGGUGUGAUAGUCACGUAGGUGUAAGCCUGAAGGAUUGUGGUUUUGUCCUUGAGUACCGUGGGUCGGAAUUCUCGCGGGAAUCUGGGAGACAUCAACUUCCAAAACUAAAUACGUCUUGAGACCGAUAGCGCAUUAGUACCGUGAGGGAAAGUUGAAAAGUGCCCUCUGAAGGGAGGUGAAAAGUGCCUGAAAUUGAAUGGUGAUGGAGCGAUACAGCAUGAAAGGAUCUCUGCAGCGAAGGAAGCAGUCGCGAGGCUGUUGUACGAGUUGUGGUGCUGGUGUUGUAUCUUACGUUUUGAAGAACGGGCCAGGGAGUGUAUCCAAGUGGCGAUGGCUAACCUCGUUAUGGGGGGAGCCGGAGCGAAAGCAACAUGCACGCAAACCCUUUUCAAGGGGCGCGUGGAGUCACUGGGUUACGACCCGAAUCCCAGCGAUCUAGGCGUGGGCAGGUUGAAGCGUGGCGAAAGCUACGUGGACCUGUGUCUAGGAGUGAAAGGCUAAUCGAGCUGGGUAACAGCUGGUUCCUUCCUAAACAUGUCGUAGCAUGACCCUGCUGGAGAUUGUCGACGUGGUAGAGCACUGAUUGGGGAAGCUGGGGGGGAAACUCCUCACUCUCUUGUCAAACUCCAAACACGUUGUCGUUGUAGAAGGCAGGUAGUCCGGGCUACUGGGGUAAGCCUGUAGUCCGUGAGGGAGAAAACCCAGACCGGGGUUAAGGUCCUAAAGUGUCGACUAAGUGUUAAUGUUAAAGGGAGUCCUAAGCCCAAGACAACUGGAAGGUGAGCUUAGAAGCAGCUAUCCUUUAAAGAGUGCGUAACAGCCCACCAGUCGAGGUUUAGGGCCCCGAAAAUGGACGGGGCUCAAGUCGACCACCGAUACCCCGGAGCACCGAGAGGUGAUCUGGUAGGAAGGCGUCUGGCAUGGGUAGAAGCAGGGCUGUGAAGUCCUGUGGACCGUGUUGGAACGAAAAUCCUGGCAAUAGUAGCAGCAUAGCUGGGUUAGAAUCCCAGCCGCCGUAGGGGCUAGGUUUCCUCGGCAAUGUUCGUCAGCCGAGGGUUAGUCGAUCCUAAGGUGUAUCGUAAUUCGAGUACAUCGAAAGGGAAACAGGUUAAUAUUCCUGUACCGAUCCAACGUUUUGUGCUGACGUAUCCGGGUAGGCUGAGCAGUGCCGUCGCGCUGUCCAAGCAUUAAAACCCUUGGAGUGCUGUAAUAGCGAGAAGAGGGUGAAGAUGUGAUGGGGAAACUCAGCUAAUCCCAGGUGCCCGUGAAAAGGCUGUUGGAUCGAUCGUACCGAGAACUGACACAGGUGCCCCUAGCUGAACAGGCUAAGGCGUGUCGGGGUAUGCUGGCUAAGGGAAUUCGGCAAAUUAGCUCCGUAACUUCGGGAGAAGGAGUGCCUGCCAAGAAGUUGGCAGGUCGCAGUGACCAGAGAGCUCCAACUGUCUAAUAACAACAUAGCUGACUGCUAAUCCGAAAGGAUGUGUACAGUCAGUGAAUCCUGCCCAGUGCAGGUACCUGAAAACCCGGUUCAACGGGAAGAAGGGCCUGUUAACGGCGGGGGUAACUAUGACCCUCUUAAGGUAGCGUAGUACCUUGUCGCUUAAUUGGCGACUCGCAUGAAUGGAUCAAUGAGAGCUCUACUGUCCCUAGCCAGUGCCCGGUGAAGUUUACAUCCCAGUGCAGAGUCUGGGGACCCCCAGGGGGAAGUGAAGACCCCGUGGAGCUUUACUGCAGCCUGCGGUUGGGUCGUGGUUUUGGAUGUGCAGUGUAGGUAGGAGACGUCGAAGCUUGCGCGCCAGCGCGAGUGGAGUCGACCAUGAGACACUACCCUUCCAAGACUAUGAUCCUAACCCAAAUAUUUGGGGACACCCGUAGGUAGGCAGUUUGGGUGGGGCGCCACGCCCUUGAAAAGAUAUCAAGGGUGCCCAAAGGUUGACUCAAGUGGAUCAGAAAUCCACUGAAGAGUGCAAGAGCAUAAGUCAGCCUGACGUUAUCCCGCAUAAUAAGGGAUGACGAGAGGAAACUCGGGUCUAGCGAACCACUACGCCUUCUUGAUGAGGGCUAUUGAUGACAGAAAAGCUACCCCAGGGAUAACAGAGUCGUCGCCGGCAAGAGCACGUAUCGACCCGGCGGCUUGCUGCCUCGAUGUCGGUUCUUUCCAUCCUGGCUGUGCAGCAGCAGCCAAGGGUGAGGUUGUUCGCCUAUUAAAGGAGAUCGUGAGCUGGGUUUAGACCGUCGUGAGACGUGUCGCACAUUAGUUAUGCACGGUAUUUUUUAUCGGUAUAUUUUGGUGUUGGCGGUCAUAGCGGCUUGGAAACUCCUGUACUCAUUCCGAACACAGAAGAUAAGCAGGCCCACGUUCUGCACUGUACUGAGGUACGCGAGUCCUUGGGAACUGUAGACCGCUGCCAAACACCACUUUUAAAAUCUAAUUAUCCUUUAGAAAAGCUCGACAGCCAAACGAUUACUUUAUGGCUUAUGGGUGUGUUUACACUAUUGGUGUCUGUGAUGGUAUUACUAU
rnacentral:rRNA from 1 species